ACACAUUGUCAGUAUAGAGAUAAUACAAAUUGUCAUAAAACAAGAGUAAUAGACAAUAAAGAACUGAAAUUUUUGUACACGUUGAGAGCAAUGGAUGUCAUAGCUACUCGGCAGACCUCAUUCUAAUUUCUUCUAAUUCAUCAUGGAGACCAGUCAGAAGCAAGGGAAUAAUCCUGUGCCACCAACUGUACCUGUCUCGCAGUUUUAAGAGCCAAGAACCAGCUACUUCAAUCACAGCUAUAAAUAAAAGUUGUUAAGUGAAAAUUAAAUAAGUAUUGCAUGCUUUCUAUAAUAAAACAAUCAACUGUUGAUUUAGAUAAAAUCAUUAGACGAAGAGAAUUAAAGUGAAGAGCUCACACUUUAAUUUAAGCCAAGUUCACAGGCGAUAUGGCUAUAGUGGCAGAGGAUGCUCUAGGAUUGAGCGGAAUAUUGAGAUCAUUAACAAAAUACAUGGUGUUCAGAGUUGUUGUUUAUUC